rnacentral:rRNA from 1 species
GACGAACGCUGGCGGCGUGCUUAACACAUGCAAGUCGAACGGAACUCUUUGGAUCAAGGCUUCGGCCAAGUGAAUUUGAGUUUAGUGGCGGACGGGUGAGUAACGCGUGAGGAACCUGCCUUUCAGAGGGGGACAACAGUUGGAAACGACUGCUAAUACCGCAUAACGCAUAUUGAUCGCAUGGUCGAUAUGCCAAAGAUUUAUCGCUGAAAGAUGGCCUCGCGUCUGAUUAGCUAGUUGGUGAGGUAACGGCCCACCAAGGCGACGAUCAGUAGCCGGACUGAGAGGUUGCCGGCCACAUUGGGACUGAGAUACGGCCCAGACUCCUACGGGAGGCAGCAGUGGGGAAUAUUGGGCAAUGGGGGAAACCCUGACCCAGCAACGCCGCGUGAAGGAAGAAGGCCUUCGGGUUGUAAACGUUACUUUACCUACGGUACGGAACGAC